rnacentral:rRNA from 1 species
AACGUAGGUGGCGAGCGUUAUUCGGAUUUACUGGGCGUAAAGGGUGUGUAGGCGGUCUGUUAAGUUGUGUAUGAAAGGUCUCGGCUCAACCGGGAUAAGUUAUGCCAGACUGGCAGUCUAGAGAGCGAGAGAGGGACGUGGAAUUCCGGGUGUAGUGGUGAAAUGUGUUGAUAUUGGAAGGAACGCCGGUGGCGAAAGCGGCACACUGGGUCUUAACUGACGCUGAGGCACGAAAGCCAGGGGAGCGAACGGA